AAUGAUAAUUGUGAAAUGCAGUGUAUGGAAUAUCUAAAUUCUAGUAUGAAAAAUUAAUGAUUUAAGUCCUUCUUAAAUGAGGCCAUUUAUCCGUAGAGGGUGCCAGGCCCGUAUAACAUUAAUGAUUAUUAGAAGAUAUUUCCAAAGAGUCGUGUUGCUUGAUAGUGCAGCACUAAGUUGGUGGUAAACUCCAUCUAAAACUAAAUAUAACCAUAAGACCGAUAGCAAACAAGUACCGUGAGGGAAAGUUGAAAAGAACUCUGAAUAGAGAGUUAAAUAGUACGUGAAACUGCUUAGAGAUUAAACCCGAUGAACCUGAAUAUCCAAUAUAGAGAAUUCAUCAUUAAGAUAAUAAUUAUAUUUUUAUUAUUAUGGUGUGCAUUUUCUCUAUAUAAUUGGACAUUGUAAUCUAUUAAUAUAUAAUACAAAAUUUAUCAUAAGAUCAUAAGCUUAUGUUUAUUUUAAUUAAUUUGUUUCGGCUUAUUAAUAUAAAAUAAUUGCUAUUGAUUUGAUAAAGUAUUGAUAGAUAUUUAUUGUAUAAUGCAUAAAUUUCAUAUGAAAUUUUUAUUUUAAUAUUAAUAAAGCAUUUUAUAUACGAUUAACAAUGCGAAAGAUUCAGGAUACCUUCGGGACCCGUCUUGAAACACGGACCAAGGAGUCUAACAUAUGUGCAAGUUUUUGGGUUAUAUUUUAUAUAAUACCUAAAAGCAUAAUUAACAUAACUUGAUUUAAAAUGGGAUGAAUUUUAUAAUUAAAACAAAUUAUAUUAAUUCAUCCCGGGGCGUUCUUUAUAGUUAUGUAUAAAUAAUAUUUAUAUUAUUAAUUACCUCUAACUAGAGCGUACCUUGAGCAUAUAUGCUGUGACCCGAAAGAUGGUGAACUAUACUUGAUCAGGUUGAAGUCAGGGGAAACCCUGAUGGAAGACCGAAACAGUUCUGACGUGCAA
rnacentral:rRNA from 1 species